GUCUGAUAAGCUCAGUUGGUAGAGCAUGAGACUCUUAAUCUCCAGAUUCAAAGGAGGUCUCGAAACUUUACAUCAGGCU
rnacentral:tRNA from 1 species